GUUGCUGAUUCAUCCCACUCCCACUAGCACAUGUAACUACUGAUGUCAGCAUUUAGACUUUGGAUUUUACCUCAAAACCAUGCAAAAUUUGGGAUUCCUAACAUUAAUUGACUGGAGUUGAGUUUGACCUCAUGAGUUUGAUCUUGAUGUUUGGUUUGUUCACAUCUGAAAUUCAAAGUCAAAAUUAUCAAGGAAUGGGAGCUCAUGUGGAUGAAACCCAAAACAAAUGUUUGUAGGAACCUCUGAGAAAUGGAAGUACUGUGUUCACAUAGUUCUAAUUAUAACACUGCAUUUGUAAGAUUCAUAAGAGCUGGGACCCGUGGAAGAGAAACAUGAAGGGAAACUGAUUUAAAGGGAAGGUAGAAAAGGGACAGAUCGUCCACUCAUUCAGACACCACCAGCAGUCAAUGGAGAAGAACAUCGAUGAGUUAUAUGAGGUGUAACCUACAUGAUUUGCGAGGAGGACCUUGUGCUGAUCUGCUCAGAGGCAACCAUCAGGGAGUAAAGAGUUUCACAACACAGACCAUUUUUUUACUAAAUUCCUCUAUUUCA